rnacentral:rRNA from 1 species
CGCAUCUGUGCAUGCAGCAUAUCAAUAAGCGGAGGAAAAGAAACUAACAAGGAUUCCCUUAGUAACGGCGAGUGAAGCGGGAAGAGCUCAAAUUUGAAAUCUUCAAGGUUUUACCUUGACGAAUUGUAGUUUAAAGAAGUGUUUUCUGCUGAAGUUUUGGUAAAAGUUCUUUGGAAUAGGACAUCAUAGAGGGUGAGAAUCCCGUAUUUGACCAUUAUUUUCAGCUUUGUGAUACACUUUCAAAGAGUCGGAUUGUUUGGGAAUGCAGUCCAAAAUGGGUGGUAAAUUUCAUCUAAAGCUAAAUAUUGGCGAGAGACCGAUAGCGAACAAGUACCGUGAGGGAAGGAUGAAAAGAACUUUGAAAAGAGAGUUAAACAGUACGUGAAAUUGUCAAAAGGGAAGCGUUUGACACCAGUGUUGUUUUCUCGAAAAUCAAUUAAAAAUGGCUCGAUUUUGUAUUGCUUGAGACCUUAAAAGCUCACUGUACAUUUUUCGUGUCUUUUUUAAUGCACUUUUCGUUUAACAAGUCAACAUCAGUUUCUUUUGCUGUAAAAGGGUCAUUGGAAGGUGGCUUUCUUUUCGGAGAAAGUGUUUAUAGCCUUUGGCCUCUGCAAUCGGAGAGACUGAGGUCUGCAGCGUAGACUCUUCGGGGUUAGAUACAUUUGUGCUAAGUUAUAGCUUUUUAUAGACAACUUGUUGACUAUAAUUAGUCUUGUAGCUUACUCGCUUAUGCUAUUUUACCUACGCUUAGGAUGUUGAUAGUCACAGCGUGUAC